CUCCUGAUUAAGCUGAGCCAUCCAGGGUGAAACUCCCCUGCUACCAGCAGGUAAAGUCUCUCCUCAAAGUGUUCUUCCAGUCUCCUCAGAGCGAGCCACCACACCAAAAAUAACCCCUUGUGCCCAGGCUGCUUAACUGAGUUGUGGCAAGUUUGUAUUUUGAGAAAGUUAUUACGAAUGCAAAAUGUAACUUGGAAAUAUAUCCAUAAUUUUUGUCAGAGAGCAAAAGGCAAAGAAAAUACCCAUCUAGAGAUGUGUUUUAUGCAGAUUUCUUUGCCUUUGAUUAGCAACAAGUUUCUGACUGGGUUCUAAGGGAAGAAACUUAGAGGGCAGGGAGUGCAGUGUUGCACCAGCCGUACAUGCUCUGCCUUGGAAAACCUGUCAGCGGUUUGCAAACAUGAACACAACAGAAAGGGUGUCUGAGAGCUAAGGGGCUGUAAUUCUGAUGAACCCAUUUGUCUCGCUGUAAUUCCAACAAGUCCAGUGGAAUAAAUGAUUAAUUGCCUCCAUCUGACCUCAGAACCAGGUCUGGAAUAGUUACUAUGUGCUUUGGGUUGUGCAGAAAUAUUUGUGUUGAAAGUAACACCCAGGGGCGAGGGUCUACAACUCUGAGAAAAAUGUUUCUAGAACAAUAACAUGCUUUUCAACUGCCUUCACUACUACAAAAUGAGAAAGGUAACUGCUAACAAUGACAAGUUCAGCAGCAGGAUGCAGUUCUUUCAGGUUUUAUUUUAAAAUGUUUACACUGGAGCAGCUCAGGAAGAACCAGCUGUCCAAGGGCUGCAGGCUCCAGAGAUCCGAUGAUUCAUGGAGAGGUGGGGUCAGAUGUUCCUGUGCCAGUGAUUCAUCCCUCCUGUGUCCUGCAGCUGACUCUGUGGCAUGGCCAGAGCUGAGGGCCUGGUACCAUGGUGUAAAUCAUUAUUGAUUUCAGUUUACAUGGACAUCCCUGGAUGCGAACUGCUGCAGCUGAGGACUCUGAUUCACGGUCUCUGUCAGGCUUAGAAGUGGUGUCUGAGGAGCUUUCUGAGCAUAACAACCUCUUUUCCAAAUGCAUCCAGUGCCAUACAAGUUGGGACUCUGAGUCUGGAUUACUUUGCUACCCUUUUGUGAAUAUUUAUUGCGUUCUGCUCAGUAUUUGUAUGCUGGAGUGUAAAACAGACAAAAAAUACAGUUGAAAAACUGCCUAAAAUAAAGAUCUCAGAGAGCAGGAAACACACAUAUUAUAGGAAAAAAACCACAGGGCAACAGGCCCUGUGUUCAAACUCUUGAUCAAAUUGAAAAAUUACUACUUUGUAAGUUCUUGUAAAUGCUAGAAAUAUUUUGGUGGAAGAACCUCAUCUACAUCUUGGUGGGGAAAAUGAAAUGGAAGAAAGUAUCUUUUCAUGAGAGGUCAAAAACUUUAUUUUGCCAAGUUCUUCCUAUGGUUGUGAAGAUUUUUCUUCCAGCAGAAAGGAAUUCAGACAAAUUUUGCAAAAGCAGAUGCUCAAAUGUCAUGAGGGACAUUGUCUAAAAGAAAAAAGUGUGUGUUGGGGGAGGAUUGUAUGUGCAAACCAGCCUGUUGUUGGGACCAAGAACCCAGGGUACAUCAACCUAGUAGCUGUGACAAUCUCACCUGCCUGUAAACCCACAUACAGGUAAAAUAAGUAGAGAGCAGCAACCUGCUAAGCCACUGAUUCAUCUGUAGAUUAGAUAGAAUAUAGACCCUUAGAUUUGUGCAAAGGUUGAGAUAGCUUCUAGACUGAGCUGAAGUUUCAAAGGGAUUUGUCCUGAUUUGUUAUUUCUCCAUGAAAACACCUCACCAGCUGUCCAGAAUUCAUAUGCCUUUCAAACCACAGUGUGCAAACAACAGAAAGUUUGUUUUGCCAUGUCCCCCUGGCACCCACACAUAUUAAAAGCACCAUACUUCAGUGCCCAGGCAGAUAACUUCGAUUAUUAGCAUUUUUAGACAACUGUUAGAAACGUUUCUAUCUUCUUUUACUACAUAGGGUGAAUUGCAACCAGACAGACCACUCUUAGUCAUGGCAUUAUGAUGGCCAGUGCACGUGAGUGGACAAGAAAUUGGAUUAUACAUCAGACUUCCGUUUCCUCUCUGCUCCUCCUUUGCUCUGGGGCAGGACCUUUCUCAUCUCCUGUGAAUUUCCCUGCUCCUGUCCUGCUGGGCCUUUUGGUCAGCCUGCAGAGAGAUGCAAACCCAGGCUGUGCCCACUUCUUCCCUUCCCAUGGCUUUCCUCUGCCUCCUUCUGUCCCUCUGAGACCACCUGGAAACAGUCCAAAGGAGAACAGUAAGAUUGCCAAAAUUAUUUUAACAAAAGAUGUGAUUUUAGAUGUUAGAUUUUACCUAAAUGAGAGAAGUGGAAGAGUUGUGUGGUUUAGUGUGGCAAAGAAUAUGGGAAAUGGAGAUGCAAGGGCAGGAUGUGGUAGCAGUCUUCAAAUCUUUGAAAGCCUGCAGCAGAGGGCUGAGUCUGUAAAUUGCCUGGGCUUUGUUUCAGGUCUGCAACAGGUGAGAGGCAGUGGUUAAAGUGCAAUAAGACUUCAGAAAAGCUGUCUCAUGUUUAAGGCAGUUGGGCAGUGGGAUGAACAGGCUGUGACAUCUCCAUCACUGAGUGCUGUUACCAAGAUUUUUGGAUGUUCUGUCAGCAGCAGCUGAUUCUGCUUUGGGACGAGGGAAUGGACAAAGAGAUCUUUUGGGAAGAUCCAGAUUUGUUCUAAUCCAGGAAAUAGGGUCAGGAAGGGGGCUGACAUAGUGACAUGGCAGGGCCAUGCACAGAACAAGAUGCAAUUAGGCUGCAUGGAGACCAGUAUUGUGGAUAAUUCAAGUAUGCAAAAAGCCUGUACAAAAUACUGGUUGGGCAUGAUACAUCUUUACAGUUACGUUUCUGUCCUGGUACCAAUGCCACUCAUCAUUAGGGAAGGGGCAGGAAAAUGUAAUUUCUUUCAUUCUUUUAAUGCAACUAUUGGAUGUGAAAAUUGCAGCCCACAGCUUCCACAUUUUGAAUCUGCUACUGCACUUAAUUUGGAGGUAUCCUUGACCCCCCUGGAAUGGGUUAGUGACUUCCUGCUUUCUUAGUGGUAUCUUGACCUGCUUUAGACUUGCAUUUUAUUUACGGGUUUAUUUCAAAGUGCUGGUUUUGAUGUACAAAGCUCUUUUUGGAUUGGAUCCUGUAUAUCUCUGAAAUUACCUGUCUUUUGUAUUUUGCUUCAAGA